UGGUUUUUUAAAGCAGAAACCACCACAAAGUUGGCUGUGGUUUCAGCUGCUCUCGCUCGAGAUUUGUAUUGCUGACUACCAAUCCUAAAAGAGUUAACCUGGUAAGUAUGACUCAGAAGCAGAGCAGGAGAUGCGAGGCUGAGAGCCGUGGAGGCAGCACAGAAACAGAGGUGAGCAACAGAAUAAUUGCCAAAAAAAGGUGCAGAGUCCAGGAGCGACGCUCCCUCCGGUCUGCCUGGCCCUGGCACCGCUGGCACGGGCUCCCUGGAAAGCUGCAGUUCCGCUCUUAUAACACAGGGAGCAGGCUGGAGAAUUUAGAGCUGCGUCACAGAGCUCAGCGAGAGAGUGAGAGAGCAAGCUCCGUCGAUAGGUCUACCAGCAACAGCCCUGCUGCAGCAAGAGGGGAGAGAGGCAGCAAGAGAGGCAGAGAGGGCUCCAGAAAGAGAAGUAUCACCAACACCUCGGGCUGGGCUCCUGCCACCAUCCACUGCCAUUUAGACGUCGUACUCGGGCUCGGUUGGCGUAGGAGGCUUCGCCCAUUGACGAUGCUGGAGACCCGGCGCGCUUAAUCCCGCGGGGAGGGAGAGUGGGCAGACACCGAAAGGGUUAACGGAAAGGAAAUUUCUGGAACCUUCUAUUCUGCGGCGCUCCACAGCGAGCGGAGGGCUGAGGACUGCGCAGAUGGUGCACGGGCACAGCUCUUCGGUCCGGUUCGCCUCUCUCACUGACCAGCAAUGAAGAUGGCAGCUCUGCCUGGAAGUGCUGAGGACACAACCAGCCUUGAGCUUGGUCCUUCUGGCCGAGGAAGUCUCCCGAUUAUGCAGUGGAGUGGUAACUUUGCUUUCUCAUAUGGCAGGGAACAUUAUUCCACAGCUUUUCAUCAUCCCGAGGCUUAAACAAGUUUAAGGAUGUGAUAGCAUAAGCGUUUAAUCUAUAUUACUCACUCGUUGACAUCUCAAGCGUCAGGGCUGGUUGUUUAGCAACAACCGCUGGGCUCAGAACCGGCUCAGACACAGCGCGUCCGCCGUCUCCAUCACUUCAGCUGUAGCCUGUCCCCUGCACGGUGCUCUGAGGGAAAGAGAGAAGGGCUCUACUUGCACCAUACCCUCGCCCCGACCGAGUUUUGGGGGUUUGGUGGCGCAGGCCGCAGGCGCUGCGGUUUUCUCGUGGAUUCCGUCCGUUUGCGCAGUUCCGCGGAGGGGAGGACGCCAUUUCCAACGGCACUGCGGCGGUAGGAACGGGGAGGGAAGAACAGGACAGGCAGUACGUGCCACUCCCCACUUUUCUUCCCCUCUUUCCCAUCACCACCUUUCUUCCUUCCCCUCCUCUUCUGCCAGAUUCCAUAGGGAAUUUCAGACUCUUGCUGCAGUCGUCACAACCCCUCCUGACUCACUGAGCCUUCGCUGGCUGUAGCUGGCUCCCUUGGAGCAUCCUUGCCUCCUGCAGCGCCAGAUCCGCAGAGCAGGGGAACAACAGGAAUAGCAGCGACGACGGUGGUCCCUGCAGUGAGACAGACAGGCAUAAAUACACACACAUGCAGGAACAGUCCGAGGCAGCUGUGGAGGGAAUUCUGUACAGCCGGGAGCUGGACUAAGCCCCAACUGCUUGGUUGCGUGGAAGACGGGUGGGUUGAGUCUCUUUUCCUGAGUGUUGGCUGCAUGGACAACUCUUUGUGGUUUUCCCGUCACAGUUGUGGGGUGGAGGACCCCAUAAUUUGUAAAGCUAGUGCUGCUUCAUGACAUUUCUCAGUGCUUUAAAGGAGGUGCCACUGGCAGCUGCUUCAGUGUUCAGUGCAGGGAUGUAUCUGAUUUAAUUCCCUUUGCCACCAUCUUUUUGCCACAAUUAGUUUAACUGAGACUGAACACAGGGAGGGUAAGGAGACACAGAUAAACGAGGAGUUAUUUCAAUGUUAAACUUCAGCUGUAAAUCUCAUUACUCAGGAAUUGAGGUUACUGUCAGCAGGUAAAUCUGUGGGACUGGCAAGAAACAAGGCUAAGAAGGGGACAUGGCAUAUUUCUGUAGGACAGCAGCGACUGUGUGCACAGGGGUGGCACUGUCACUGCGAGCUGUACGUGGCUUAACUGUUCCAUAAUCAUUUUCUGCAUAUUGCCUCAAAAGGACUUGGGAAAGCUGUGAUUUCUUCCUCCCUCUGACACUUGUGCGUGUUGCCAUUGUGUAAGCUGGUUCGUUUUUCCGAGCCUGGGUUCCCUUGCUCUGGGCAGUGGGGUUUGCUCCGUGCCUCGGCCCUGGUGCAGCACUGACGCAGCGUUCGUUAACGCGCCGGCCCUCGCCGACAAAACACUCGCGAUUUUCUCGGGCGUUCCGACCGUUCCGAGGGCCGCAAAAUUCGGGCGAGGAAGUUCAGGAUUGCAAAUGCUCACGACAUAAACUUAAAAGCAUCACCAUCCUAUUCUUUUCUAGUGGAGGAAGGCUCUGUGAGUGACGAGACAGCCACGAUCUCCCCCUUGCACUUGUUUUGCCGAUGGUCAUGUUACAUCUGUGACGCAGACGAAUUUUGCUGUUGGUUCCUGCCUGUGCUUUAGGGAGUCGGGCUGAUGAGGGCACAAGCUUGAAUAUGGUUAGAAACAUUAAUUUAGUAUUGCUGUUACAGGUUCAAACCAUACCUGAAGGGUCAGGGGUAUUGGAUCCACCUAUUUCACAGCCCCAAAUGGCGAAGGAAUUCGGAUGAACACAACAGCACCCCUGGCCAUUUUGUAGCUCGCAGAGUUGACUCGGAGCCUGCAGCUCUGCUGCUGCUGCUGCUGCUGUUCAUUUCCAUGUUAUACAAAUACAGCGUUGGGCUCGGUGUCAGGAGCUUUCCUGAUGCUGUGAGAAGCUUAAAGUCUACAAGCAAAUGUUUUUCUUAUUUGGGAAGAUUAAUUAAAAUGACCAAAUGCCAAGUAUUCUACCCUCGCUCCUCUCACAAAUCACAUCCAGAAAA